UCCCAGUUGGCUCAGUGAUAAAGAAUCUGCCUGCAAUGUAGAAACUCAGGUUCGAUCCCUGGAUUGAGGA
rnacentral:tRNA from 1 species